GAUGAACGCUGGCGGCGUGCCUAAUACAUGCCAGUCGAGCGAACAGACGAGGAGCUUGCUCCUCUGACGUUAGCGGCGGACGGGUGAGUAACACGUGGAUAACCUACCUAUAAGACUGGGAUAACUUCGGGAAACCGGAGCUAAUACCGGAUAAUAUAUUGAACCGCAUGGUUCAAUAGUGAAAGACGGUUUUGCUGUCACUUAUAGAUGGAUCCGCGCCGCAUUAGCUAGUUGGUAAGGUAACGGCUUACCAAGGCAACGAUGCGUAGCCGACCUGAGAGGGUGAUCGGCCACACUGGAACUGAGACACGGUCCAGACUCCUACGGGAGGCAGCAGUAGGGAAUCUUCCGUAAUGGGCGAAAGCUUGACGGAGCAACGCCGCGUGAGUGAUGAAGGUCUUCGGAUCGUAAAACUCUGUUAUUAGGGAAGAACAAAUGUGUAAGUAACUAUGCACGUCUUGACGGUACCUAAUCAGAAAGCCACGGCUAACUACGUG
rnacentral:rRNA from 1 species